UAGCAGGUCGUGCUGAGUCAG
rnacentral:misc_RNA from 1 species